CAGGUGAUGUCUUCUACUGAAAACAAAAAAGAAAAAAAAGAAGAAAAAAAAAAGGACAUAUUGUUUUUGUUUGUUCUGGCAGUAUGGCAAAGUUGUUUGGGAGCAGUGGCCGUGCAAACACACAGUAAGGAGCAUGAAUGUAAGGACAGCACCAGACUCCCCUAAGAUGCACGGCCUCCAAAGCAGAGCAUGGACCUCAGUGGCAUGGCAUACUGGCAGAAGCACUCUGCAGGGGUUGUUUUCUAUCUGAGAAAUAUGAAGAAAACAUUUCACAGUUUUCAACCGGAGUUAUCGAGUGGAUGACCCAAAUAUUUAACUGAUGUUCUCUCAAUGAAAGCAUUCUUCAAU
ensembl:lncRNA